rnacentral:rRNA from 1 species
GGAGGGUGCAAGCGUUAAUCGGAAUUACUGGGCGUAAAGCGUGCGUAGGCGGUUUAUUAAGUCAGAUGUGAAAGCCCCGGGCUUAACCUGGGAACUGCAUUUGAAACUGGUCAACUAGAGUAUGGUAGAGGAAAGUGGAAUUUCUGGUGUAGCGGUGAAAUGCGUAGAUAUCAGAAGGAACAUCAAUGGCGAAGGCAACUUUCUGGACCAAUACUGACGCUGAGGUACGAAAGCGUGGGUAGCAAACAGGAUUAGAUACCCUGGUAGUCCACGCCGUAAACGAUGAUAACUAGCCGUUGGGGGGAUUUACCCCUUAGUGGCGAAGCUAACGCGUUAAGUUAUCCGCCUGGGGAGUACGGCCGCAAGGUUAAAACUCAAAGGAAUUGACGGGGACCCGCACAAGCGGUGGAGCAUGUGGUUUAAUUCGAUGCAACGCGAAGAACCUUACCUGGUCUUGACAUCCUGAGAACUUUCUAGAAAUAGAUUGGUGCCUUCGGGAACUCAGUGACAGGUGCUGCAUGGCUGUCGUCAGUUCGUGUCGUGAGAUGUUGGGUUAAGUCCCGUAACGAGCGCAACCCCUAUCCUUAUUUGCCAGCACAUCAUGGUGGGAACUAUAAGGAGACUGCCGGUGAUAAACCGGAGGAAGGCGGGGACGACGUCAAGUCAUCAUGGCCCUUACGACCAGGGCUACACACGUGCUACAAUGGGAAGGACAAAGAGCCGCGAAGCCGCGAGGUGUAGCUAAUCUCAGAAACCUUUUCGUAGUCCGGAUUGGAGUCUGCAACUCGACUCCAUGAAGUCGGAAUCGCUAGUAAUCGUAGAUCAGAAUGCUACGGUGAAUACGUUCCCGGGUCUU